AGUCUCGCUGUCCCCAAGCUGCCGCUGCCUCAUGGCACCAAUGGCCGUGGCCCUCAUCCUCGGUGCUCCUACCGCAUCAGCGGCUGCUGCCUUCUGUUCUCACCCUUGGGGAUAACGUGACCCUGGAAGUGAUUCCCAGACCUGCAAUCCCAGGUGACAAUGGGGGUCCCAGCAGGAACCUGGUGGCAGCAGUGGCGGGGGGCUGUGCUGCUGCCAUUGUCUUCAUCAUCGUCCUCACUGUCUCUUUCCUCCUUGUUGCUCAGAGAAGACGAAUGCAGACAGAUGAGAGGCCUGGUGGGGAAGGGGUUUAAUGGCUUUUAUCCCCCAUACAUCCCCUAUAGAUCCCCACUGGUGCUGUUUAGCCCCUCCAUAAUCCCACCCAUCUCCCCUCCCGUUUAUGACUCAGGUGCCGCCUCCAGAAGCCCCGAGGCCAUGCAGUUCCAGGUGUCCCCGGUGACAGCGAGGGUCUGACCUACGCCCAGCUGCAAGCUGUGACCCCCAGCACCCACCCCCCCGCCUCUUCUACCACCUCUGAACCCCCAUUAUCUACGCCGAGGUGGGCACGCGGGGACCCCGCUGAUGCCCCCAGAUGUGUACGCAAACACGGGUGUGUUGUGUGCACACAUGGACUUCAAGGGUGUACAGUGCCGGUGUGCUCGGUGUGCUCACCACCACCUGUGAAUUACAGCCAUGUAGCUGUGCGUGUGAACACGUGGAUGUGUAUUAAACGGGUGUGCACCAUCCAUGUGCACAUCAGGUGU
rnacentral:lncRNA from 7 species